rnacentral:rRNA from 1 species
AGCAUAUUAAUAAGCGGAGGAAAAGAAACUAACAAGGAUUCCCUCAGUAACGGCGAGUGAAGCGGGAAGAGCUCAAAUUUGAAAUCUCCGGUGCUUGCAUCGGCGAGUUGUAGUUGCGAGAAGCACUUUCUAGGUGGAUCGGCGGUGCCUAAGUUGCUUGGAACAGCACGUCGCAGAGGGUGACAACCCCGUCUGUGGCGCCGCCGGCCGCUGACGAUGUGCUUUCGAAGAGUCGGGUUGUUUGGGAAUGCAGCCCAAAAUGGGUGGUAAACUCCAUCUAAAGCUAAAUACUGGCGUGAGACCGAUAGCGAACAAGUACCGUGAGGGAAAGAUGAAAAGAACUUUGAAAAGAGAGUUAAAAAGUACGUGAAACCGUCGGAAGGGAAACGAAUGGACUCAGCAAUGCGCCCUCUGAGAUUCAGCCGCGUGGGUGGCGUCGGCGCGGGGUUUGCGGAUCUGAAUGGACCGCGGCCCGGCGCUCGCUUCUCCCCGCCGUCGCACUUCUCUGGGGCGCGCGUCAACGUGGGUUGGGACUGGGUCUGAAAGGUGCCGGGAAGGUAGGUGUGGGCCUUCGGGUCCGUUCUGUUACAGCCCGGUUCUCUCAUGGCUCGGGCCCGACCGAGGAGCAGACAGGGCAUGCCUCCUGUGGCUAGGGUCCCGUCCUUCCGGCCGGCUGUCCAGUGUGGUGGACUGCUUGCAGUGCUCUGCGACGGCUGCCGGUCGUUGGGGUGGUGAUCUCGUACCAUGCCCUUGGGAUGUUGGCGGUCAU